ACAAAUAUUCCUAUGAUCGAAGACUUGAAGUGGAAUUAGAGAACCUUACACCUAGACACUGAUGUAUACCUUCUGAACUUGAUUUAAAAGCUCCAGUUAUUGUACCAACAUCUUCUUUAAAAUAAUAAGCAUUCUUUGUGUGGGGGCUCAAUUGUUGCAAUGGUGCAAUAAAUCCACUCAAAAAAGCUCCAUCAGGAUAGUUUAUUCUGCAAACAUCAAGUACAUAAGUUACUGGCACCAAAUUUUUUCAAUGAAACACAACCAGAACUUAACGGGGAAAGGGCCGUUUGGUUGUUUGCACAGAUAUGCUAUUGUAUUAAAAAGGUUCAACAGAAAGUUUACUAAGCAUAACAUGAAAAUUAGAACAAACUAGAUGGAAAGCAGUACCCAUUGAAGUUGACCAGCGAAGUAAAUUUGAUAGAAAGACAACAGUGUGCUGUAAGCAUACCAAAUUAUAUAUAUACAUACACACACACACAUACAUACACAUACAUGCAUACAUACAUACAUACAUAUAUACGUAUAUAUAUAUAUACACACAUACAUACGUACAUAAAUACAUAUAUACAUACAUACACACAUUGAAGAGAUCUAGAUAUAUUUAUAUUUGUAUGAAUGUAUGCAUGUACAAAUAUAGAUACAUACAUAAAUAUAUAUAUAUGGGUAUGCUAUUAAUAGCAUAGAGGCCUCUAUGCUACCAAAUUGUUUUUGAUGAUAGGACAAAUCCAAAUUGACGAUCGGCCCCGUUAGAUAUUGAUCUACACAAUUGGAAUUUGGAAGUAACUAGAAACCAAUUUUUAUGAUUUUUUGACAUCGUUGGCCUACAGAACCAAUAGGUUCAAAAUGAACGGCUAAAAAUAAAAAUAUCAUAAAAAAACAAUGAUAAAAAACUUAAAUUUCAUAUCAUAUAUACUGAUCUUGCUCUAAUAGUGGGAAAGAAAAAUUCUAUCAAAAUAUCACUAGAUUUGGAUUGUUCUACACCGUUUAGAGAGAGAGAGAGAGAGAGAGAGAGAGAGCUAGGAUGUUGUGCUCUUAGGAGCACGGAGGCCUCCAUGCUCCUAAGUCAUUUUCGAAGAUGGGACUUCCAAAUCGACGAUUAGCUCUGUUAGACUUAAUCUAGAAUAUUUGAAGUAUCUAGAAAAUAAAUUUUAUAAUUUUUCGAUAUUAUUUACCUAGUGAUCGAAAGGAUUCAAACUUAAUCAUUUUUAACGGCUGAAAAUAAAAAUCUCAAAAAAAGUUAUGAUGUAACACAAAAAUUUUCGAUCAGAGAUAUUAAUUUUGUUAUUGAUAGUAUACAAAAUUUUCUAUUAAAAUUUUAUCUGAUUUGGAAAUUUCUAUACCAUUAAAUUGAAAAAGGUUCACAUCAACCAUUAAAAUUGUUCAUUUUGAACCCUUCCAAUCACUAGACAAAUGAUAUCGAAAAAUCACAAAAUUUGUUUCUAGAUACUUCAAAUACUCUAUAUCAAGUCUAACGGAGCCGAUCGUCGAUUCGAAAGUCCCAUCACCAAAAACAACUUAGGAUUGAAGAGCCCUCCAUGCUUCUAAAGCACAGUAUACCGCCUAUAUAGAUAUAUAUAUAUAUCAGACAAACAGACAAACAGUUCAGAGAAGGUACGAAAGAAAAUCUAUCAGAUAACUAAGGAGAGGAUAUCAAUCAGCAUGACGGCCUGAGAACACCUGGGGCAAGUUUCAAUCAAGAGUAGUGCAUUGGCUUAACUUGUAUAAUGAUGAUAGGAAGUAUACAAAUUAAAUUUUAAGAAGAAUAGAUCUAUAAUGCCUACAUGGAACACGUCAAUAUUCUUAUGAUGUAAAUGUUUUCCAUCUUUAGACAACUAUAGAUGAUAGAAUAUCGUUUCGUUCUCCCCACAAGUUUGUUUUCGAGACUCCCAUGUAAGAUUCUUCCUCAUGCCUGAACUUCUAACACUUGUGGAAUGUUCUCGCACUGCUAGGUACAUAUAGUAAACAGCAUAUACCAA
rnacentral:lncRNA from 1 species